rnacentral:rRNA from 1 species
AACGAACGCUGGCGGCAUGCCUAACACAUGCAAGUCGAACGAAGGCUUCGGCCUUAGUGGCGCACGGGUGCGUAACGCGUGGGAAUCUGCCCUUAGGUUCGGAAUAACGGCUGGAAACGGCUGCUAAUACCGGAUGAUAUCGCGAGAUCAAAGAUUUAUCGCCUGAGGAUGAGCCCGCGUUGGAUUAGGUAGUCGGUGGGGUAAAGGCCUACCAAGCCGACGAUCCAUAGCUGGUCUGAGAGGAUGAUCAGCCACACUGGGACUGAGACACGGCCCAGACUCCUACGGGAGGCAGCAGUGGGGAAUAUUGGACAAUGGGCGCAAGCCUGAUCCAGCAAUGCCGCGUGAGUGAUGAAGGCCCUAGGGUUGUAAAGCUCUUUUACCCGGGAAGAUAAUGACUGUACCGGGAGAAUAAGCCCCGGCUAACUCCGUGCCAGCCGCCGCUGUAA